UACAUAGGGGGCAAGCGUUGUUCGGAAUUACUGGGCGUAAAGGGCGCGUAGGCGGCCUGUUAAGUCGAACGUGAAAUCCCCGGGCUCAACCCGGGAACUGCGUCCGAUACUGGCAGGCUUGAAUUCGGGAGAGGGAUGCGGAAUUCCAGGUGUAGCGGUGAAAUGCGUAGAUAUCUGGAGGAACACCGGUGGCGAAGGCGGCAUCCUGGACCGAGAUUGACGCUGAGGCGCGAAAGCCAGGGGAGCAAACGGG
rnacentral:rRNA from 1 species